rnacentral:lncRNA from 1 species
GCACCCCAUCCCUUAUUUCCAUGCCCCGACCUCUUAUCUCUGUGCCCCAACCCCUUUUCCCACUUUUCUGGAAGGUAAGAACCCCCGAACCACUUCCCUCCAUUUCUCUACUCUCUCUUUUCUCUAGGCUUGCUUCCUUCACUAUGGGAACCUUCCACCCUCCAUUCCUCCUUCUACUCCCUUGGCCUGUGUUCUCAAAAACUUAAAACCUCUUCACCCAAUCCAAAGCCUCCUUUGCGUCCUCCUCUUGUAUCCCCCCACCUUAACCCACAAGUAUAAGAUACCUCUACUCCCUCCUUGGCGACCGAUUCUGUUCUGGAUCUCAAACAUGCUUUCUUUACUAUUCCUUUGCACCCUUAAUCCCAGCCUCUCUUCGCUUUCACUUGGACUGACCCUGACACCCAUCAAGCUCAGCAAAUUACCUAGGCUGUACUGCCACCUUUUACCACUUUCCCUUCUCAGAAUUCAGGCCUGUCCUCGGAAUGCUACAGGGUACAGCCCAUUUAAGCUCCUGUAUAGACGCUCCUUUUUAUUAGGUCCCAGUCUCAUUCCAGACACCAGACCAACUUAGACUGUGCCCCAAAAAAACUUGUCUUCCCUACUAUCUUCUGUCUAGUCAUACUCCUAUUCACCGUUCUCAACUACUCAUACAUGCCCUGCUCUUGUUUACACUGCCGGUUUACACUGUUUUUCCAAGCCAUCACAGCUGAUAUCUCCUGGUGCUAUCCCCAAACUGCCACUGUUAACUCUUGAAGUAAAUAAAUAAUCUUUGCUGGCAGGACUAUGCUGAAUCUCCUUAGGCACUCUCUAAUCAGAUAUCCUGAGUCAUCCCAAUUCUUAGACCUUUUAUACCUGUUUUUCUCCUUCUGUUAUUCCAUUUAGUUUCUCAAUUCAUCCAAAACCGUAUCCAGGCCAUCACCAAUCAUUCUAUACGACAAAUGUU